rnacentral:rRNA from 1 species
UACGAAGGGUGCAAGCGUUACUCGGAAUUACUGGGCGUAAAGCGUGCGUAGGUGGUUUGUUAAGUCUGAUGUGAAAGCCCUGGGCUCAACCUGGGAAUUGCAUUGGAUACUGGCAGGCUAGAGUGCGGGUAGAGGAUGGCGGAAUUCCCGGUGUAGCAGUGAAAUGCGUAGAGAUCGGGAGGAACAUCUGUGGCGAAGGCGGUGGUCUGGGCCGGCACUGACGCUGAGGAGCGAAAGCGUG